rnacentral:rRNA from 1 species
CAGUAGCCGCGGUAAUACGAAGGGUGCAAGCGUUAAUCGGAAUUACUGGGCGUAAAGCGUGCGUAGGCGGUUUGUUAAGUCUGCUGUGAAAUCCCCGGGCUCAACCUGGGAAUGGCAGUGGAUACUGGCAAGCUAGAGUGUGUCAGAGGAUGGUGGAAUUCCCGGUGUAGCGGUGAAAUGCGUAGAGAUCGGGAGGAACAUCAGUGGCGAAGGCGGCCAUCUGGGACAACACUGACGCUGAGGCACGAAAGCGUGGGGAGCAAACAGGAUUAGAUACCCCUGUAGUCCCUGUCUCUUAUAC